AGAGGCGAGGUGGACCGACUGGU
rnacentral:miRNA from 1 species